CCCUCCCCCCCGGGGCGGAGCCCGGCGCCAGCGGCGGGGGCGCGGAAAUCGAGGCCGGGGCUCCGCCGCGGCCUUCGCUGGUGCGGCGGGAGGAGGAGGAGGAGGCCCCGCGCCGCCCCCGCCGCCGCCUUUUGUCUGCGCGGGGCCGGGCGGACGCGGCGGGGCCGUGAGAAUGGAAGUGACUGAAGGCCCUAUGAGAAAAAGGGAAAGCUAAGGAUGCUGGAGCAGAACAAUGGAUUUCUCUUUCUCUUUCAUGCAAGGGAUCAUGGGAAACACAAUUCAGCAACCACCUCAACUCAUUGACUCCGCCAACAUCCGCCAAGAGGAGGCCUUUGAUGGCAGCAGUGACAUUGCUGAGGAUGGGGGCCGGACGCCGUACGAGCCGGCGCUGCAGCAAAGCUUCCAGUACCCCACGGCGGAGGAGCUGCCCCCCAUCACCAACGGGUACCCCCCGGCCAUCGGCAUGUACGAGCCCCAGGCCAAAUACCAGGCGUACGCUCAGUACCCCAACGGCUCGGCCAACGGCUUUGGGGCGGUCAGGACCUUCAGCCCCCCGGAGUAUUACCAAAUGGACAACUCUAGCGCGAGGCCGCACGAAGUUCUGGAGAAACCCUCCCCUCCCCAGCCGCCACCGCCGCCCCCCCCCUCGGCUCCACAAGUGGGGAUUCCAAAGAAGACUGGCUCACCAGAGAUCAAACUCAAAAUAACCAAAACUAUCCAGAACGGCAGGGAAUUGUUUGAGUCCUCCCUGUGCGGGGACCUGUUGAACGAAGUGCAGGCCAGGGAGUACGCUAAGGCGAAGCACGAGGGGAGGAAAGAGAAAAGGAAAAAAAGUAGCAAGCACGACUCUUCCCGCUCGGAAGAGCGCAAGUCGCACAAAAUUCCAAAAUUAGAACCAGAGGAGCAAAAUAGACCAAACGAGAGGCUUAGCACGCUCUCAGAGAGACCAAGAGAAGAAGCCGUGCUGGAGGAAGCCCCGGUCCAGCAGCUCUUGCCGUCCCUUCCCACACAAGCCCCCCAUGACGUGAAGUUCCAGGUUGGCGAUCUGGUUUGGUCCAAGGUGGGGACGUACCCCUGGUGGCCUUGCAUGGUGUCAUGUGAUCCCCAGCUUGACGUGCAUACCAAAAUUAAUACAAGAGGUGCCCGGGAAUACCACGUCCAGUUCUUCAGCAACCAGCCGGAGCGGGCCUGGGUCCACGAGAAGCGCGUCCGGGAGUACCAGGGGCACAAACAGUACGAGCAGUUACUGGCAGAGGCUGCCAAGCAAGCCAGCAACCACUCUGAGAAGCAGAAGAUCCGCAAGCCCAGGCCGCAGAGGGAGCGAGCUCAGUGGGACAUUGGCAUUGCCCAUGCUGAGAAGGCACUGAAAAUGACCCGGGAGGAGAGGAUAGAACAGUACACCUUCAUUUACAUAGACCAAGAGCCAGAGGAGGCUUUGGCCAAGGCCAAAAAGACUGCUGCCCCCAAAGCAGAGGCCAAGAAGAACCGGCGGCCGAAGCCAGCGCUGAGCACGCAGCCGGAACACCCCACCACGGGGGCAGGAUCGUCCCCUUCCAACGCUGAGGCGCGGAGGCAGGGCCAGAGGAGGCAGUCCAGUGUGGAGGAGGAGGAGGCACCUCCCGUGAAAAUCGCGUGGAAAACGGCCGCCGCUAGGAAAUCCCUGCCAGCGUCGAUAACCAUGCACAACCUGGACCUGCAGAAAUGUAACAUGUCUCCGGUUGUUAAAAUUGAACAGGUUUUUGCCCUUCAGAAUGCUGCUGGGGAUGGAAAACUCAUCGAUCAGUUUGUUUAUUCCACCAAGGGAGUUGGUAACAAAACAGAAAUAAGCGUCAAAGGACAAGAGAAACUUAAUUCUUCAUCAGCUCAGAGAAGCGAAAAAGCAACAGUGCAAAAUGCAUCCUCUCCUGAGACAACUUCUGGGUCAGCAGGUUCUGUAGAAAAGAAGCAACAGAGAAGAUCGAUUCGAACCCGCUCAGAGUCUGAGAAAUCCACCGAAGUUGUGCCAAAGAAGAAGAUCAAAAAGGAGCAGGUUGAAACGGUCCCGCUGGCAGCGAUGAAGACGGGAUUGCAGAAAGGUGCCAGCGAGAUUUCGGACUCCUGUAAGCCCUUAAAGAAGAGAAGUCGUGCGUCCACAGACAUGGAACUGACCAGCUCUGCCUACAGGGACACGUCUGACUCCGAUUCCAGGGGACUCAAUGAUUUGCAGGGCAGUUUUGGGAAGCGCUCGGACAGCCCGUCAGCUGCUGCCGACGCUGAUGCCUCGGAUGUGCAGUCAGUGGACUCCAGCUUAUCCAGGAGAGGAACUGGGACAAGUAAAAAAGACACUGUUUGUCAGAUCUGCGAGAGCUAUGGCGAGUCGCUGCUGGCCUGCGAGGGCGAGUGCUGCAGCGUGUUCCACCUGGAGUGCCUCGGCCUGAAGGCUGUGCCUGAGGAGAAGUUCAUCUGUGCCGAGUGUAAGAACGGAGAACACACGUGCUUUUCCUGCAAGCUGCCUGGCAAGGAUGUGAAGCGCUGCUCCGUCAGCACCUGCGGGAAGUUCUACCACGAGUCCUGUGUCCGCAAGUUUGCCACGGCCCUGUUUGAGUCCCGGGGGUUCCGGUGCCCACAGCACUGCUGCACUGCCUGCUCCAUGGACAAGGACAUGCACAAGGCCAGCAAAGGUCGCAUGGCGAGGUGUCUGCGGUGCCCCGUGGCCUAUCACUCGGGAGACGGCUGCAUCGCCGCCGGCAGCCUCUUUGUGUCAUCCCACAUCCUCAUCUGUAGUAACCAUUCCAAAAGGACUCACUCCUCAUCAGCUGUAAAUGUAGGCUUUUGUUUCGUUUGUGCAAGAGGGCUGGUAGUGCAGGACCAUUCAGACCCCCUGUUCAGUUCCUAUGCCUAUAAGUCCCACUACCUACUGAAUGAGUCAAAUCGUGCUGAGUUGAUGAAAUUACCUAUGAUUCCUCCUCCUUCGUCAGCUUCCAAAAAGAAAUGUGAGAAAGGUGGCAAACUGUUGUGCUGUGAGUCCUGCCCAGCUUCCUUCCACCCCGAGUGUCUCAGCAUAGAAAUGCCUGAGGGAUGCUGGAAUUGCAAUGACUGUAAAGCUGGGAAGAAGCUGCGGUACAAGCAGAUCGUUUGGGUCAAGCUUGGGAAUUACAGGUGGUGGCCAGCAGAGAUCUGCAAUCCCAGGUCUGUGCCUCUCAACAUACAGGGCCUCAAACAUGAUAUCGGGGACUUCCCAGUAUUUUUCUUUGGUUCACAUGACUACUAUUGGGUACACCAGGGCAGAGUUUUCCCUUAUGUUGAAGGAGAUAAAAGCUUUGCUGAGGGGCAAACUAGUAUUAACAAGACCUUCAAGAAAGCACUUGAAGAAGCAGCAAAGCGCUUCCAGGAGCUGAAAGCACAAAGAGAAAGCAAAGAGGCUUUGGAAAUUGAAAGGAAUUCAAGGAAACCUCCACCCUAUAAACACAUUAAAUCCAACAAGGUGAUAGGGAAGGUUCAGAUCCAGGUGGCCGACCUGUCGGAGAUCCCCCGGUGUAACUGCAAGCCCUCGGACGAGAACCCGUGCGGGCUGGAGUCGGAGUGCCUGAACAGGAUGCUGCAGUACGAGUGCCACCCGCAGGUGUGCCCGGCGGGGGAGCGCUGCCAGAACCAGUGCUUCACCAAGAGGCUCUACCCCGACGCCGAGAUCAUCAAAACCGAGCGCCGCGGCUGGGGCCUCAGGACCAAAAGGAGCAUUAAAAAGGGUGAGUUUGUGAACGAGUAUGUUGGGGAGCUCAUUGACGAGGAGGAGUGCCGGCUGCGCAUCAAACGUGCCCACGAGAACAGUGUCACCAAUUUUUAUAUGUUAACUGUGACCAAGGACCGAAUAAUAGAUGCUGGCCCAAAGGGGAACUACUCCCGUUUUAUGAACCAUAGUUGUAACCCAAACUGUGAAACACAGAAGUGGACAGUGAAUGGUGACAUUAGAGUUGGACUGUUUGCUCUUUGUGACAUUCCUGCAGGAAUGGAGUUAACAUUCAAUUACAACCUGGAUUGCCUGGGCAAUGGCAGGACCGAGUGUCACUGCGGAGCAGAGAACUGCAGCGGCUUCCUGGGAGUGCGUCCGAAGACAGCGUUUGCAACAGCAAAUGAAGAGAAGGUGAAGAAUGCAAAGUUAAAGCAGAAGAAACGGAAAAUAAAAAUGGAACAGAAGCAGAUGCAUGAAGACAACUGUUUCCAGUGUGGAGAUGGGGGAGAGCUGGUCAUGUGUGAUAAGAAGGACUGUCCCAAAGCGUACCACCUCCUAUGCCUUAACCUGACUCAACCACCUUUUGGAAAGUGGGAAUGUCCGUGGCAUCAGUGCGACGUCUGUAGCAAUCCUGCUGUUUCCUUCUGUGAGUUCUGCCCCCAUUCCUUCUGUAAGGAUCACGAGAAGGGAGCCCUGGUGCCGUCGGCGCUGGACGGCCGCCUCUGCUGCUCCGCACACGACCCCAAAUCUCCCGUGGCACCCGAGUACUGGAGCAAGAUCAAGUGCAAAUUGGAAGCACAGAAUGCUGUGGAAGAGGCGAAGGAGUGAUUUUGGUUAAAGACAAACGCGGGAGGGGAGAAGAGGGGCAACAGGCGACGAACUCGGGGAGGCUGCGAUGCCACGCUCAGUCUGCCCUUGGAGCUGUCGCGUGUGGGCUGGAACGGGACCAUUGACCUGAGCGAGCAGAACCAGGCAGUGGUGUUUGGUUUUUAUUGUUUGGUCUUUCUUUUACCCUUGAAUGUGCUACAGCAGCUCUUACUGUUGGAAACCAGGAACGUCUUGGCCUUCGAAGAAAACCGUAGACCUUUAGACAGUGAAAAGAAUAUUCUGUUUAAAAUAAUGUUCUUUGAGUGUAGAAAGCAAAACAUAGCAACAUAUUUAUUUAUUUAAUUUUGAAAGGGUGUUGAAGAUCUGGCUUUGAUCAGUCAACGUGUCUUUGAAAACAAAACAGCGAAGCCAAUGUAACUUUUGUGUCUAGUUUAUGGAAAGAGCAAAGCCUCCCCCCUCUGUAACGCUGAGAUGCCAAACAGACAGGUGUGGGUGUCAGACCAGGUGACUCUGAAAUGCCUCUGUUCCAGUACUUAUUGUUAAAGGCAUUGGAGAAGUUCCUUCCUGCUCCCGCUGUACAGUGGAUCCGUGGCAAACGGGAGGGUUUGGAAGCUGUCUCGGAGGUGUGUGCUCACCGGGCCUUGCGUGGGAGACGGCGACCUUGGAGCGAUGCUGUCCCUUUGCUUCCCGUUCCCAUCAGCUUUCCCCACCGUUUCUCUUUGUGUAGCAAAAACAUUUGCACUUACAAUACACUCCUACACGCUGGAUGUGUUCCCGGUGUUGUUCUGAGGGAAAAAGAAGAAAAGCAAAGCUGUUCCCCACGAUGCUGUGUUCCUGAGUGAGCAGCUCAGCUCCGUGCUCCCCUGGAAGGGGUCUCGUCAUUCUGGAGCGGAAGGUGGGGAGCUGGCACUGUGCUUAGUGUAGGGGAUUUCUGUGAUUAAUGUGAAUCAAAAAGGGAAAACACGUACUAAUUUGCCAAAGCCAUUCACCACUCCCUGUUCCCCGGGGCUGUGCCCUCCCCAUGCCACCGCCAGCUCUGGGGGCCGGGCGGCUGCCUGGGGUCCCCUCUGGAGAUCCCAACUGAGUGGAGGUCCCUCGGAGCCCCCCACCGAGCAGUUCUCACUCGUGUUGGGUCAUAAAGAGACUGGAUGAACCCCCACAUUCCCUGUUCCCAGGUGGAGCUGUAUCUCUGUCUGUGUCACUUUUCCAACGAGCCAAUGGUGUUGCCACAGCCCCUGGGGUGAUCAUGUCCCGUUUGAGCCGGGGGGUCGGGGGGAUUUGCAUUUGGGGUGCCGUGAGGACCCCAACCCGUUUGUCUCCACGCGAGUGAUGUUGCACAACACAGAUCCCUGUGGAUCAACCUCCAUCCCCACGUGCUCUGUAAGAUGGACCUUUGUAGAGUUGUUAUUUCUGUAGACUUUGUUUAUCUGUAACAAACUUUGUAGAUUCUGUGAAAUGUUAUUUUAACGAAAUCACUCGAGUCUUUACUAGCAAAGCAUUGAUAUUCACCCAAGUCGGUAUGGAGGAGUUUUUGGAUGCUGACGCAGCCCUGACACUAAGGAGGAGUGUCCGAUUCCACGGGGCAUUACUGUAUCAUGACUUGAUGUUGCUGCAUAGACUUUGAGAUAUCCGAUAUUUUGGGGGGUUUGUGUUGGCCUCUGUCCUCUUGCAUAGUGUGAAGCCUGUAAAGCUGGUUCCCUGUACAUAGAUAGCUCCUGUCCUCUAGGUAGAGCGUAUCGAGACUUGCCUGUAAUAUUUUAGCUUCUUACUGACUGUGUGUGAUGGUAGAACAUAUAAUUUUUGUACAUUCUAUUUACUGAAAUGUUGCCUUUUUUUUUUUAAUUUUAUUUUACAAAUACUCUGGAAUUCAGAUGUGGGGUUUUUUGGUUGUUUUUUUGUUUGUUUGUUUCUUUGUUUGUUUGGGGGUUGUUUGGUUUUUUUGUUUGGGUUUUUUUUUUUUUUUUGCUUUUCCGUGAGGAUUCCUUUGGAAAGGUUUUUAAUGACAUUCCACUGAUCUGAAAUUUUUGCUUGAGGUUGACUUCAAUAAAUCGUUCUGAAUGUUCCAAUGAUGAGA